rnacentral:rRNA from 1 species
AUGGCUCAGGAUGAACGCUAGCUACAGGCUUAACACAUGCAAGUCGUGGGGCAGCAUAUAGAUAGCUUGCUAUUUAUGAUGGCGACCAGCGCACGGGUGAGUAACGCGUAUCCAACCUUCCCCAUAGUAGGGUAUAGCCCGGCGAAAGUCGGAUUAAUCCCCUAUGUUGUUUGAAGCGGACAUCUAAUUCAAACCAAAGAUUCAUCGCUAUGGGAUGGGGAUGCGUCUGAUUAGGUUGCAGGCGGGGUAACGGCCCACCAAGGCGACGAUCAGUAGGGGUUCUGAGAGGAAGGUCCCCCACAUUGGUACUGAGACACGGACCAAACUCCUACGGGAGGCAGCAGUGAGGAAUAUUGGUCAAUGGGCGGAAGCCUGAACCAGCCAAGUAAGCGUGCAGGACGACUGCCCUAUGGGUUGUAAACUGCUUUUAUAGGGGAAUAAAGUGAGGUACGUGUACUUUUUUGUAUGUACCCUAUGAAUAAGGACCGGCUAAUUCCGUGCCAGCCGCGGC